UCCCACUCCUGUUAGGAGCAUUCUAGGUGUACCGUUUUUCAUGGCCAGAUCUGAAUUCAUGUCAUGUGCUUUCAACAACCUAAUUAUAAGAAUGCCAAGAAGAAGCAAUUGUCGAGCCGCUCAUCUAGAGACGCAUCUUCCAGGGGCUUCUCAUGAGGCACGCUGGGUGGAAUGGCUAGCUUCGUUGGAGGAAUGGGUGGUGGUAUGCCUCGGGGAAUGGGUGGUGGUAUGCCUCGGGGAAUGGGUGGUGGUAUGCCUGGAGGGGCUCCCGAUCCCGAUGUUAGCAUUUGGUGACCGUGUGGUCACAUCAGCUCUUCAAGUGGCUACAGUUUCCCUGAAAUAGUUCCUCCGCUUCCUUUAUGCAAUUCCCUUGUUAUUUUAACUAAUAUACUAUGUGCUGGCUGUUGGGUCCCACCUUUAUGCAACUUGGAUGAUAUGUUUGCUACUUGUGCCUUGUUGCUUUUUUAUGCAGCAGAAGCAUACUGCAUAUCCUUUGGGUGCUUGAACAGACGUCGAGUUGUUCGAGGAAAGGAAACCUAAAAUUGAUAUCAUGUAGGUGUGGAUGGGAUAUUUCCACUAAAUACUUGACAGCGGCAGCAAUCCCAGUGACGAAGGAGGUGUCCUUGUUAAACCGGUGGCUUGUGUAGGCGAUGGAGCAGCAGGUUGGCGUGCCGCUUGUGAAGGUGCGAAGUGGUGCUGUACGUUGGAACCGCCUGGCCGACAUGCUUUCUUCUAUGAUAUUUCUUGUAGUUGGUUAGGUCAAAUGCUGGGCUCGAGCAUCUUUUAGUUUUGCCGUUGGAUGUUUGUUUCCUAGAGACAUGAGCUAGCUUAUUGAUGUCGUGGACCUGGUGCGUUGGCUCCACUUUAGGUUUAUAAGCUACAUGUAGAUAUGUUUAUUCUGUGCUUUGGCAAGACAGACUUGUCAUGGCCCAUGAGUUGUAUUGAUACAAAAUUUUAAUUGAAAUACAAGUUCUUGACGGUGUUUCAAGUUAA